GGGGGUAUGGUCUAGGGGUAUGAUUCACCCUUCGCAUUGCAUUGUUAAUGACGAAUUGGGUGGGGUCCGGGGUUCAAAUCCCCGUGCCUCCA